UCUCAGUUAGUAUAGUGGUAAGUAUCUCCGCCUGUCAUCACGCAUUUUGCGGAAGACUCGAUUCCCGGACCGAGAG